GAUCAUGGCUCAGGACAAACGCUGGCGGUGUGCCUCAUACAUGCAAGUCGAACGAGAAACUGGAGCUUGCUUCAGUGGAAAGUGGCGGACGGGUGAGUAAUAUGUAGGAAAUCUGCCCUAGAGAGGGGGACAACAGAGGGAAACUUCUGCUAAUACCCCAUAUGAGCUUGGUUGAAAUACCAAUCUUGAAAACUCCGGUGCUCUAGGAUGAGCCUGCAUCUGAUUAGCUAGUUGGUGGUGUAAUGGACCACAAAGGCGACGAUCAGUAGCUGGUUUGAGAGGAUGAUCAGCCACAAUGGGACUGAGACACGGCCCAUACUCCUACGGGAGGCAGCAGUAGGGAAUUUUGCGCAAUGGGGGAAACCCUGAACCGCAGCAACACCGCGUGAAUGUUAAGCCCUUCGGGGUAUAAAGUUCUGUCAAUGGGGAAGAAUAAAUGACUGUACCCAUAAAGGAAGCACCGGCUAACUCCGUGCCAGCAGCUGC
rnacentral:rRNA from 1 species